rnacentral:rRNA from 1 species
UGGGGAAUAUUGCACAAUGGGCGCAAGCCUGAUGCAGCCAUGCCGCGUGUGUGAAGAAGGCCUUCGGGUUGUAAAGCACUUUCAGCGGGGAGGAAGGCGUUAAGGUUAAUAACCUUGGCGAUUGACGUUACCCGCAGAAGAAGCACCGGCUAACUCCGUGCCAGCAGCCGCGGUAAUACGGAGGGUGCAAGCGUUAAUCGGAAUUACUGGGCGUAAAGCGCACGCAGGCGGUCUGUCAAGUCGGAUGUGAAAUCCCCGGGCUCAACCUGGGAACUGCAUUCGAAACUGGCAGGCUAGAGUCUUGUAGAGGGGGGUAGAAUUCCAGGUGUAGCGAUGAAAUGCGUAGAGAUCUGGAGGAAUACCGGUGGCGAAGGCGGCCCCCUGGACAAAGACUGACGCUCAGGUGCGAAAGCAUGGGGAGCAAACAGG